rnacentral:rRNA from 1 species
AUGCAUGUCGAUAAUGUCAUCCAGCUUCUCCCGGUUCUCCGCAUCGGGACCUCCAUUUCGGUUGGCUCUCGGACCUCCACCUUGUUUUGGUUCGACCGGUGGGCUGGGGACUCCCCCUUUGCCGCCAGGUUCCCGGAUAUGUUCUCCAUUGCGGUGGAGCCUAGGAUAUCCGUCGAGUCGGCCCUUAUUGACUUAGGGCGUCUCGCGUUCCGGCGGCCAUUUGGGCCCCCGGAAACCACCUCCUGGCAUGAGCUCUUGGAGGCCAUUGCCCUGCACGAGCCUGAUUUGUCGUAGCCUCACGACCGUCUAUCCUGGCGCCUCGAGCCCUCGGGUCGGUUCUCCAUGAAGUCCCUAUACCAGGCCAUCGCCCCCUCCCCUGGACCGGCGGCCCUUGAGAUGAUCUGGGCGAUCUGUGUGCCCCUCAAGAUCAGGAUCUUCAUGUGACAAUGGAUCCGCGGCCGGCUUCCCUCCGGCGUUGAGGUGUUAAAACGGAAUGGCCCGGGCGAUGGGAUGUGUCCCCUAUGUGGGAUGGAGGAAACCUCGAAUCACAUCUUCUUCUCGUGUGUUUCCACCCAGUUCCUCUGGAGUUGCCUCCAUGAGGUGGUCCGGGCUAGUUGGUGCCACACCAAUUUCCCAGACCUCCUCGCCGAGGUCCAGGCCUCUCCCCCGUCAGGCUGCCACAUUAGGUGGCUGCUCAUUGGGGUCCGCGCCUGGACGCUCUGGACCGUGCGUAAUAAGCUUGUCAUUCAGCGUAUGCCUCUUCGACGGGCCACUGACGCAGUAUUCAAAAUGUGUGGUUAUUUGCAGCUCUGGCGGCCGCUUAGCCGCUUCCAUGACCAGGAAGCCAUCAACACCAUCAUUGCCGACCUUCACGCGAUGGCUCUCCGCUUGGCUCCGCUGCCUCCUCCUCCACCACCUGACCCGGAUUAG